UACAAGACCCCAAAGUCCUGCAGUCAGCGCAAGAACCAGAGACACGUUCAGUUAGAUACUAAAAAUCAACUGAAUUACAAGCAGGAAUUGGCCUUUUCUUCUGAAAAACAGUGAUAAACUUAUGUCUUGAGUAUCACUGUCUCAGAAAGGAGAAAGACUGCUUGGCGUUUUAGAAGAUCACCAAGGUCACUCCUUUCACUAGAAUACCAACAAGAUCAGACCCACAACUUCUUACUUUGAAAGACACAAAUACUUGCCACAGUUACAACCUAUUUCAAACUACAAUAACACGAAGGAUAAUCUUGUGGCUUUCUCAUGACGUUUGCCCUCAACAUACAGAAACUCAGAUAAACUCCUUGGAUGGUAAUUCACCUAACACUCUGGAGACCAACUGACCACACAACAUCUGCCUCGGUCUUGAGCAGCUCAUGAAGGAUGGAACUUUUCAGGUGACCAGCUCAAGUGCUGCGCCAUUUUCCUAAGGAAAGAAAACAUUUUCCCUAAUGUCUGGACUUACUUUCCCAAAUUGUAUCUUGGGUCCUUUGCCAUUUAUUAAAGUCUGUGGCUAUUAAGUUGAGU